GAUUAAAGGGUAAAUCGAUCUGUUUUUAUUAAAAAUUGGUGUAAUUGAUAGAAUAAUCAUACAAGUACACAUGACGUGGCAUGUCACAUGUACUUCAUGGUGACGUAUAUGGACCCGUUUUCAACAGUAGAAAUGGAUAAAAUUUUUAACA
rfam:Gossypium raimondii Chr02_contig_1478, whole genome shotgun sequence.